rnacentral:snoRNA from 1 species
AAGACUAUACUUUCAGGGAUCAUUUCUAUAGUUUGUUACCUUAUUUUAUUUGUUUCACAUGAGAUGUACUCACCACU